rnacentral:misc_RNA from 1 species
GAUGAAGAACGUAGCGAAAUGCGAUACGUAGUGUGAAUUGCAGAAUUCAGUGAAUCAUCGAAUCUUUGAACGCACAUUGCGCCCUUUGGUAUUCCAAAGGGCAUGCCUGUUCGAGCGUCAUUACAACCCUCAGGCCCCCGGGCCUGGCGUUGGGGAUCGGCGGAAGCCCCCUGCGGGCACAACGCCGUCCCCCAAAUACAGUGGCGGUCCCGCCGCAGCUUCCAUUGCGUAGUAGCUAACACCUCGCAACUGGAGAGCGGCGCGGCCACGCCGUAAAACACCCAACUUCUGAAUGUUGACCUCGAAUCAGGUAGGAAUACCCGCUGAACUUAAGCAUAUCAAUAAGCGGAGGA